UACGUAGGUGGCAAGCGUUGUCCGGAUUUAUUGGGCGUAAAGCGAGCGCAGGCGGUUCCUUAAGUCUGAUGUGAAAGCCCACGGCUCAACCGUGGAAGGUCAUUGGAAACUGGGGAACUUGAGUGCAGAAGAGGAGAGUGGAAUUCCAUGUGUAGCGGUGAAAUGCGUAGAUAUAUGGAGGAACACCAGUGGCGAAGGCGACUCUCUGGUCUGUAACUGACGCUGAGGCACGAAAGCGUGGGGAGCAAACAGGAUUAGA
rnacentral:rRNA from 1 species